rnacentral:rRNA from 1 species
GCGUAAAGCGCACGCAGGCGGUCUGUCAAGUCGGAUGUGAAAUCCCCGGGCUCAACCUGGGAACUGCAUUCGAAACUGGCAGGCUAGAGUCUUGUAGAGGGGGGUAGAAUUCCAGGUGUAGCGGUGAAAUGCGUAGAGAUCUGGAGGAAUACCGGUGGCGAAGGCGGCCCCCUGGACAAAGACUGACGCUCAGGUGCGAAAGCGUGGGGAGCAAACAGGAUUAGAUACCCUGGUAGUCCACGCCGUAAACGAUGUCGACUUGGAGGUUGUGCCCUUGAGGCGUGGCUUCCGGAGCUAACGCGUUAAGUCGACCGCCUGGGGAGUACGGCCGCAAGGUUAAAACUCAAAUGAAUUGACGGGGGCCCGCACAAGCGGUGGAGCAUGUGGUUUAAUUCGAUGCAACGCGAAGAACCUUACCUACUCUUGACAUCCAGAGAACUUUCCAGAGAUGGAUUGGUGCCUUCGGGAACUCUGAGACAGGUGCUGCAUGGCUGUCGUCAGCUCGUGUUGUGAAAUGUUGGGUUAAGUCCCGCAACGAGCGCAACCCUUAUCCUUUGUUGCCAGCGGUUAGGCCGGGAACUCAAAGGAGACUGCCAGUGAUAAACUGGAGGAAG